rnacentral:rRNA from 1 species
UACGUAGGUGGCGAGCGUUGUCCGGAUUUACUGGGCGUAAAGAGCGCGCAGGCGGUCGUAUAAGUCGCGUGUGAAAGCCCCCGGCUCAACUGGGGAGGGUCACGCGAUACUGUUCGACUUGAAGGCAGGAGAGGGAAGCGGAAUUCCCGGUGUAGUGGUGAAAUGCGUAGAUAUCGGGAGGAACACCAGUGGCGAAGGCGGCUUCCUGGCCUGUUCUUGACGCUGAGGCGCGAAAGCUGGGGGAGCAAACGGG